rnacentral:rRNA from 1 species
CCUACGGGUGGCAGCAGUAGGGAAUCUUCCACAAUGGGCGCAAGCCUGAUGGAGCAACACCGCGUGAGGGAAGAAGGGUUUCGGCUCGUUAAGCUCUUUUGUUGGGGAAGAACGUGCGUGAGAGUAACUGUUCACGCAGUGACGGUAUCCAACCAGAAAGUCACGGCUAACUCCGUGCCAGCAGCCGCGGUGAUACGGCGGUGGCAAGCGUUAUCCGGAUGGAUUGGGCGUAAAGCGAGCGCAGGCGGUUGCUUAGGGGUGAUGUGAAAGCCUUCGGCUUAACCGCAGAAGUGCAUCGGAAACCGGGCGACUUGAGUGCAGAAGAGGACAGUGGAAUUCGUGGUGUAGCGGUGAAAUGCGUAGAUAUCAGGAAGAACACCAGUGGCGAAGGCGGCUGUCUGGUCUGCAACUGACGCUGAGGCUCGAAAGCAUGGGUAGCGAACAGGAUUAGAUACCCGAGUAGUC